rnacentral:rRNA from 1 species
GACGAACGCUGGCGGCGUGCUUAACACAUGCAAGUCGAACGGUGAAGCGCCUUCCUUUUUGGUGGGUGUGGAUGGGUGGCGAACGGGUGAGUAACACGUGAGUAACCUGCCCCCUUCUUCUGGAUAACCGCAUGAAAGUGUGGCUAAUGCGGGAUAUUCUGGGUCUGUCGCAUGAUGGGUCUGGGAAAGAUAUUGUUUCGGUGGGGGAUGGGCUCGCGGCCUAUCAGCUUGUUGGUGGGGUGAUGGCCUACCAAGGCGGUGACGGGUAGCCGGCCUGAGAGGGUGGACGGUCACACUGGGACUGAGACACGGCCCAGACUCCUACGGGAGGCAGCAGUGGGGAAUAUUGCACAAUGGGCGCAAGCCUGAUGCAGCGACGCCGCGUGAGGGAUGGAGGCCUUCGGGUUGUGAACCUCUUUCGCCAGUGAAGCAGGCCUGCCUCGUUUGUGGGUGGGUUGACGGUAGCUGGAUAAGAAGCGCCGGCUAACUACGUG